GAAGGGGGCGAGCGUUGUUCGGAUUUACUGGGCGUAAAGGGCGCGCAGGCGGCUAUUUUUGUCAGGCGUGAAAGCCCCGGGCUUAACCUGGGAACCGCGCUUGAGACGGGAUGGCUAGAGAUCGGGAGAGGAGAGUGGAAUUCCCAGUGUAGAGGUGAAAUUCGUAGAUAUUGGGAAGAACACCGGUGGCGAAGGCGGCUCUCUGGACCGAUACUGACGCUGAGGCGCGAAAGCGUGGGGAGCAAACAGGAUUAGAUACCCUGGUAGUCCACGCUGUAAACGAUGUGUGCUAGACGUUGGGGAGCCUAGCUCUUCGGUGUCGCAGCUAACGCUUUAAGCACACCGCCUGGGGAGUACGGCCGCAAGGUUA
rnacentral:rRNA from 1 species